GGAUCCUUCGGGAUUAGUGGCGGACGGGUGAGUAACACGUGGGAACGUGCCUUUUGGUUCGGAACAACUCAGGGAAACUUGAGCUAAUACCGGAUAAGCCUUUCGAGGGAAAGAUUUAUCGCCAUUAGAGCGGCCCGCGUAGGAUUAGCUAGUUGGUGGGGUAAAGGCCCACCAAGGCUACGAUCCUUAGCUGGUCUGAGAGGAUGAUCAGCCACAUUGGGACUGAGACACGGCCCAAACUCCUACGGGAGGCAGCAGUGGGGAAUCUUGCGCAAUGGGCGAAAGCCUGACGCAGCCAUGCCGCGUGAAUGAUGAAGGUCUUAGGAUUGUAAAAUUCUUUCACCGGGGACGAUAAUGACGGUACCCGGAGAAGAAGCCCCGGCUAACUUCGUGCCAGCAGCCGCGGUAAUACGAAGGGGGCUAGCGUUGCUCGGAAUUACUGGGCGUAAAGGGAGCGUAGGCGGAUAGUUUAGUCAGAGGUGAAAGCCCAGGGCUCAACCUUGGAAUUGCCUUUGAUACUGGCUAUCUUGAGUACGGAAGAGGUAUGUGGAACUCCGAGUGUAGAGGUGAAAUUCGUAGAUAUUCGGAAGAACACCAGUGGCGAAGGCGACAUACUGGUCCGUUACUGACGCUGAGGCUCGAAAGCGUGGGGAGCAAACAGGAUUAGAUACCCUGGUAGUCCACGCUGUAAACGAUGAGUGCUAGUUGUCGGCAGGCAUGCCUGUCGGUGACGCAGCUAACGCAUUAAGC
rnacentral:rRNA from 1 species